rnacentral:rRNA from 1 species
GACGUAGGGCGCGAGCGUUAAUCGGAAUUACUGGGCGUAAAGGGUGCGUAGGCGGUUAUUUAAGUCUGCCGUGAAAUCCCCGGGCUCAACCUGGGAAUGGCGGUGGAUACUGGAUAGCUAGAGUGUGUCAGAGGAUGGUGGAAUUCCCGGUGUAGCGGUGAAAUGCGUAGAGAUCGGGAGGAACAUCAGUGGCGAAGGCGGCCAUCUGGGACAACACUGACGCUGAAGCACGAAAGCGUGGGGAGCAAACAGG